UGCAAGUCGAGCGCCCCGCAGGGGAGCGGCAGACGGGAGAGUAACACGUGGGAACGUACCCUUUGGUUCGGAACAACCCAGGGAAACUUGGGCUAAUACCGGAUAAGCCCUUACGGGGAAAGAUUCAUCGCCGAAGGAUCGGCCCGCGUCUGAUUAGCUAGUUGGUGGGGUAACGGCCCACCAAGGCGACGAUCAGUAGCUGGUCUGAGAGGAUGAUCAGCCUCACUGGGACUGAGACACGGCCCAGACUCCUACGGGAGGCAGCAGUGGGGAAUAUUGGACAAUGGGCGCAAGCCUGAUCCAGCCAUGCCGCGUGGGUGAUGAAGGCCCUAGGGUUGUAAAGCCCUUUCGGCGGGGAAGAUAAUGACGGUACCCGCAGAAGAAGCCCCGGCUAACUUCGUGCCAGCAGCCGCGGUAAUACGAAGGGGGCUAGCGUUGCUCGGAAUCACUGGGCGUAAAGCGCACGUAGGCGGAUUGCUAAGUCAGGGGUGAAAUCCUGGAGCUCAACUCCAGAACUGCCUUUGAUACUGGCGAUCUCGAGUCCGGGAGAGGUGAGUGGAACUGCGAGUGUAGAGGUGAAAUUCGUAGAUAUUCGCAAGAACACCAGUGGCGAAGGCGGCUCACUGGCCCGGUACUGACGCUGAGGUGCGAAGCGUGGGGGAGCAAACAGGAUUAGAUACCCUGGUAGUCCACGCCGUAAACGAUGGAUGCUAGCCGUUGGUGGGUUUACCCUUCAGUGGCGCAGCUAACGCAUUAAGCAUCCCGCCUGGGGAGUACGGUCGCAAGAUUAAAACUCAAGGAAUUGAC
rnacentral:rRNA from 1 species